rnacentral:rRNA from 1 species
AGUGAACGCUGGCGGUAGGCCUAACACAUGCCAGUCGAACGGCAGCACAGUAAGCGCUUGCUCUUACGGGUGGCGAGUGGCGGCCGGGUGAGGACUCCAUCGGAAUCUACUUUUUCGUGGGGGAUAACGUAGGGAAACUUACGCUAAUACCGCAUACGACCUACGGGUGAAAGCAGGGGAUCUUCGGACCUUGCGCGAUUGAAUGAGACGAUGUCGGAUUAGCUGGUUGGCGGGGUAAAGUCCCACCAAGGCGACGAUCCGUAGCUGGUCUGAGGGGAGGAUCAGCCACAAUGGAACUGCGACACGGUCCAGACGCCUACGGGAGGCAGCAGUGGGGAAUAUUGGAGAAUGGGCGCAAGCCUGAUCCAGCCAUACCGCGUGGGUGGAGAAGGCCUUCGGGUUGUAAAGCCCUUUUGUUGGGAAAGAAAAGCAGCAGGUUAAUACCCCGCUGUUCUGACGGUACCCAAAGAAGAAGCACCGGCUAACUUCGUG